rnacentral:rRNA from 1 species
CUACGGGCCGCUCCAGUGAGGAAUAUUGCACAAUGGGGGGAACCCUGAUGCAGCAACGCCGCGUGGAGGAUGACGCAUUUCGGUGUGUAAACUCCUUUUAUAUGUCAAGAAAAUGACGGUAGCAUAUGAAUAAGCACCGGCUAACUCCGUGCCAGCAGCCGCGGUAAUACGGAGGGUGCAAGCGUUACUGUGGAAUCACUGGGCGUAAAGGACGCGUAGGCGGGUUGGAAAGUCAGGUGUGAAAUCCUACAGCUUAACUGUAGAACUGCACUUGAAACUUCUAAUCUAGAGUAUGGGAGGGGGAGAUGGAAUUAGUGGUGUAGGGGUAAAAUCCGUAGAUAUCACUAGGAAUACCUAAAGCGAAGGCGAUCUCCUGGAACAUUACUGACGCUAAGGCGUGAAAGCGUGGGGAGCAAACAGGAUUAGAUACCCCAGUAGUC